rnacentral:misc_RNA from 1 species
UCUCCGUUGGUGAACCAGCAGAGGGAUCAUUACCGAGUUUACAACUCCCAAACCCAAUGUGAACCAUACCAAACUGUUGCCUCGGCGGGGUCACGCCCCGGGUGCGUCGCAGCCCCGGAACCAGGCGCCCGCCGGAGGGACCAACCAAACUCUUUCUGUAGUCCCCUCGCGGACGUUAUUUUUACAGCUCUGAGCAAAAAUUCAAAAUGAAUCGAAACUUUCAACAACGGAUCUCUUGGUUCUG